rnacentral:rRNA from 1 species
GAUGAACGCUGGCGGCGUGCUUAACACAUGCAAGUCGAACGAUGAAGCCCAGCUUGCCGGGUGGAUUAGUGGCGAACGGGUGAGUAACACGUGAGUAACCUGCCCUUAACUCUGGGAUAAGCCUGGGAAACUGGGUCUAAUACCGGAUAGGAGCGUCCACCGCAUGGUGGGUGUUGGAAAGAUUUAUCGGUUUUGGAUGGACUCGCGGCCUAUCAGCUUGUUGGUGAGGUAAUGGCUCACCAAGGCGACGACGGGUAGCCGGCCUGAGAGGGUGACCGGCCACACUGGGACUGAGACACGGCCCAGACUCCUACGGGAGGCAGCAGUGGGGAAUAUUGCACAAUGGGCGCAAGCCUGGUGCAGCGACGCCGCGUGAGGGAUGACGGCCUUCGGGUUGUAAACCUCUUUCAGUAGGGAAGAAGCGAAAGUGACGGUACCUGCAGAAGAAACACCGGCGAACUACGU